GAGUUCCCAGCACGCUUCCUCUAGCACAACCACAGCUAUGCACCAAUCCUCCUGGGUUCAGAGAUGGAACUUGGGUUAAAUGCAUGGAAUUUAUUCUUAGUCCUUUUCUUAAUUACGACUUUUUAUUUCUCUGGUGUUCUCUAGGGGAGGGGUUAGAGAAGAGAGGAAAAGGAAGAAAGAAAGGGGGCAGGGAAAUAUAGAUUCAAUGCUUUUGUUUUGUUUCUGGGCUGCUUGCUAUCAGCAAAGUAGAGAGAUUUAACGGAUCUUGCCGAGAAUGCAAGCCUCAUUCCAAGGAAGCCAGAGCUCAGAAGACAUGGAACAAAUACAAUGAAAACAUAACUUGAGGUCGGAAAAUGUCCCCUGAAUAUUUAUGUCAAUGUCCUACCUUAGUGAAUAUUACUUAAUACUGUGGCUCCUUUAAAGCAUUUAGCACAUUUGUACCAUGAAGAUACUGAGGCUGCCAUCAUGCUCUGUUAUUCUAAGAGAAAGAUCAACAGCAACAACAACAAUAAUAAUUUAAAAAGCAGAGGAAGAAAGUAAUCCAAGAAGACAGACGCAGAGCCUCUAAGAUCAUGAAGGAUGAUUAAAAGAACAAGUUGGGGAUGAAAAUGGGGAAUCAGAAAGCUUAUCAUCAGUGUGAUUUCAUUAUGAAGUCAGAUGGAAUGAGGAGUGUGUAAAUCCAGAAUCAGAAUCCCAGCGACGAAGCUUUUCUUGCUCUGUUACCUUGGAAAAUGCUUUGAACCAGACCAGAUAAGAAAAGUAAAAGUCUGGAGUGUAAUCCUUCCAAUUGUCUUUUGGCUUCUCUUCUACUUCUACAAAAAGUUCAACAAGUCGGUGGGCAGAAGUCUAAAAUCAAGGUGUCAGCAGUGUGGAAUCCUUCUGGAGGCUUUGAGAAAUUAGAAUUUGAAACAACGGAAAGAGAGAAAUUUUAGGUUAGUAGCUAAAUCCCCAAGGAUACUAAUUAGAGAAAGAUGUUGGAAUUGCCUUAAUGAGUCACUGCCAACGCAAGUCCUAAGGAAGCAAAGACUGUGAGUAAGCAAAGGUAGCCAGCUGCUGGGAAGAGGACAAUAGAGGAAAAGGUCAGAGGGACUUUAAAAGACUGACUGUGGGCUCCCUGAGGGAAGGAGGGAUGGAGAGAGUAUCGGGUCCUAUAGAAUACCUUAAUUGUUUUUAUGACUUCUCUUUUCCAUAUCCAGUUCACAUGUACUCCUUUCUGUGCAUUAAAUUGAGUUUCUAUUGGCUUCUUUGUAACAAAAAGAACUGAACAGAAACACAUAUCUAUUGGACAAAGAGCAAUAAAAUGAUAUAAUAACUGUAUCUGAG
rnacentral:lncRNA from 1 species